AGUUGGGGAUACAGCUCAGUUGAUAGAGUGCUUGCCUAGCAUGUACAAGGCCCUAGGUUCAAUUCCCAGCCCAACUA
rnacentral:tRNA from 1 species